UACGGAGGGGGCUAGCGUUGUUCGGAAUUACUGGGCGUAAAGCGCACGUAGGCGGCUUUGUAAGUUAGAGGUGAAAGCCCAGGGCUUAACCCUGGAAUUGCCUUUAAGACUGCAUCGCUAGAAUCGUGGAGAGGUGAGUGGAAUUCCGAGUGUAGAGGUGAAAUUCGUAGAUAUUCGGAAGAACACCAGUGGCGGAGGCGACUCACUGGACACGUAUUGACGCUGAGGUGCGAAAGCGUGGGGAGCAAACAGG
rnacentral:rRNA from 1 species